rnacentral:rRNA from 1 species
CAGUCGCCGCGGUAAUACGGAGGGUGCAAGCGUUAAUCGGAAUUACUGGGCGUAAAGCGCACGCAGGCGGUCUGUCAAGUCAGAUGUGAAAUCCCCGGGCUUAACCUGGGAACUGCAUUUGAAACUGUCAGGCUAGAGUCUUGUAGAGGGGGGUAGAAUUCCAGGUGUAGCGGUGAAAUGCGUAGAGAUCUGGAGGAAUACCGGUGGCGAAGGCGGCCCCCUGGACAAAGACUGACGCUCAGGUGCGAAAGCGUGGGGAGCAAACAGGAUUAGAUACCCCGGUAGUCCCUGUCUCUUAUAC